GCGCGAAAACUUUACCAUGCGGGCAACCGUGAUAAGGAAACCCCGAGUGCCAGCAUAGGCUGGCUGUCCACCAGUGUAAACAGCUGGUGAAGAAAGGGCCGGGCAAGACCGGUGCCAGCCGCCGCGGUAAUACCGGCGGCUCGAGUGGUGGCCGCUAUUACUGGGCUUAAAGGGUCCGUAGCUGGAUGCACAAGUCCCUUGAGAAAUCCGCCGGCUUAACUGGCGGGCGUUCAGGGGAAACUGUGUUUCUAGGGACCGGGAGAGGUGAGAGGUACUGCCGGGGUAGGAGUGAAAUCCUGUAAUCCCGGUGGGACCACCAAUGGCGUAGGCAUCUCACCAGAACGGGUCCGACAGUGAGGGACGAAAGCUGGGGGAGCAAACCGGAUUAGAUACCCGGGUAGUCCCAGCUGUAAACGAUGUGCGUUAGGUGUGUCAGUGACCACGUGUCACUGAGGUGCCGAAGGAACCUGAAACGCACCGCCUGGGGAUACGGUCGCAAGGCUAGAAACUUAAAGGAUUGGCGGGGAGCACACAACGGGUG
rnacentral:rRNA from 1 species